GAAAUGCGAUAAGUAAUGUGAAUUGCAGAAUUCAGUGAAUCAUCGAAUCUUUGAACGCACAUUGCGCCCGCCAGUAUUCUGGCGGGCAUGCCUGUCCGAGCGUCAUUUCAACCAUCAAGCCCCCGGGCUUGUGUUGGGGACCUGCGGCUGCCCGCAGGCCCAGAAAACCAGUGGCGGGCUCGCUGUCACACCGAGCGUAGUAGCAAUCACCUCGCUCAGGGCGUGCUGCGGGUUCCGGCCGUUAAACAGCCUUACAAAACCCAAGGUUGACCUCGGAUCAGGUAGGAAGACCCGCUGAACUUAAGC
rnacentral:misc_RNA from 1 species